rnacentral:tRNA from 2 species
UGCCGUUGUGGCGGAAUUGGCAGACGCGCUGGACUCAAAAUCCAGUUCUCGCAAGGGAGUAUGGGUUCGACCCCCAUCGACGGCAU